rnacentral:rRNA from 1 species
CUAUACAUGACUCUGCGCAUAUCAAUAAGCGGAGGAAAAGAAACUAACUAGGAUUCCCUCAGUAACGGCGAGUGAAGCGGGAAGAGCUCAAAUUUGAAAUCUUCAAGGUUCUACCUUGACGAAUUGUAGUUUAAAGAAGUGUUUUCUGUUGGAGUUUUGGUAAAAGUUCUUUGGAAUAGGACAUCAUAGAGGGUGAGAAUCCCGUAUUUGACCAUUAUUUCCAACUUUGUGAUACACUUUCAAAGAGUCGGAUUGUUUGGGAAUGCAGUCCAAAAUGGGUGGUAAAUUUCAUCUAAAGCUAAAUAUUGGCGAGAGACCGAUAGCGAACAAGUACCGUGAGGGAAAGAUGAAAAGAACUUUGAAAAGAGAGUUAAACAGUACGUGAAAUUGUCAAAAGGGAAGCGUUUGACACCAGUGUUGUUUUCUCGAAAAUCAAUUAAAAAAGGCCGGAUUUUGUGUUGUAUUGACCUUAAAAGCUUUCUUCACUCUUUUCCUGCUUUUUUUAAUGCACUUUUCGUUUAACAAGUCAACAUCAGUUUCUUUUGUUGUAAAAGGGUCAUUGGAAGGUGGCUUUCUUUUCGGAGAAAGUGUUUAUAGCCUUUGAUCUCUGCAAUCGGAGAGACUGAGGUCUGCAGCGUAGAUCCUUCGGGGUUAGAUACAUUUGUGCUAAGUUAUAACUUUUCAUAGACAACUUGUUGACUAUGUUUAGUCAUGUAGCUUACUCGCUUAUGCUAUUUUACCUACGCUUAGGAUGUUGAAGAUAUGCGCGACACGACUCUAUACAUGACUCUGCGCAUAUCAAUAAGCGGAGGAAAAGCGCUAAAGAUCCAGAUACCUACGCUUAGGAUGUUGAAGAUAUGCGCGACACGACUCUAUACAUGACUCUGCGCAUAUCAAUAAGCGGAGGAAGAGUACUACCUACGCUUAGGAUGUUGACACACGCGCGUGCUCGACUCUAUACAUGACUCUGCGCAUAUCAAUAAGCGGAGGAAAAGCAUAACAUGUAUACCUACGCUUAGGAUGUUGAAGAUAUGCGCGACACG